AGUAGAGACGGGGUUUCACCCUUUAGCCAGGAUGGUCUCGAUCUCCUGACCUCGUGAUCCGCCGUCUCGGCCUCCCAAAGUGCUGGGAUUACAGGCUUGAGCCACCGCGCCCGGCCGCCGUUUGGCUUUGACCUCGGACUCUGGUGGCCUUUUUUUGGAGAAUUGAAGGACUGGGGCACAACAUCUGGGGGUUCGUCCGGGAUUUCCCCCAAGCCCACCAGACCCCAGGUCAAGGGAUCGUCACUGAUCAGUAAGUGAGCCGGCUUUGUCUCUGUUCGUCUUUGUCUCUCUGAGGAAUCCCGCGGGAUCUGUACUGAGGUUGGCAUAGUCUUGGCGGACGCGCUAUAAGACAGCCACCAGGGACCGGUAGGAGACGUCCUCCGGUGCCCAUCUGGGGCCUCUGUAUUCUGUUGGCCUGUCUGACUCUGAUCGGGAACUAAACCCGAAAGGCUCUUGCGGAACUGUUGUCUGUUGUUGCUGUUGUAGACUGUUACUUGUUUAGAACUCACUUUCACUUUUCAGGAGCCGCUGGACGAGACAAAAGUUACUUCAAAUCCUGUUACUGAUAUUUCUCUGUAUUCCUUUCUCUACCUCCAGGGGUUCCUGAAAUGGGCGGCGCCCAGAGUACGCCACUCUCUUUCCUUGUAAAUAACUUUAAAGAUGUCAAAGCUAGGGGCUAUAACCUUAGUGUAGAGCUAAAGAAAGGAAAAUUGAUGACCUUCUGCCGCUCAGAGUGGCCCGCUUUCGGCGUAGGGUGGCCUCCCGAGGGAACAUUUUGCCUCCCUAUUAUCACUAAGGUAAAAACUAAAAUUUUCCUACCAGGACGUUCGGGGCAUCCUGAUCAGAUCCCCUACAUCUUGGUAUGGCAAGACCUUGUGGAAAAUCCGCCGCCUUGGCUGGUCCCUUUCGUACUAGCCCCUGAGCCCUGUAAAGCAUUAGUCACACGGCCUGUGGGAAACUCCCAAAGACAGAAGACCCCAUCUGCCCCUCCUGCCCCUGUGUUGUCUGAUAGUCAGGACCCCCUGUCAUUAGAACUCCCGCCUUACCCACACCCCGGCCCUCAGCUCCAGGCUCCGCCGGCUGCUUCCCCGAGAGAACGGGAAGACCGAGAAGCAGCGGCAGCACCGGCGGCAAUGGAAAGCGAAAGCAGUCCUGGGGGGCCGGCGGGAAGGACACGCGGCCGUGCCCAACAUGAACAGGCCUCGCGGCCCCCCGACUCCACUGUAGCACUACCCCUCAGGGAAAUAGGAACCCCCGAUGAUACUGGGUUUUCCCGCCUCCAGUAUUGGCCCUUCUCUACUAGUGAUCUAUAUAAUUGGAAAUCCCAGAAUGCCCGGUUCUCAGACAACCCAAAAGAUCUAACAUCAUUAUUAGACAGUGUUAUGUUUACCCAUCAGCCUACUUGGGAUGACUGUCAGCAGCUCCUCCGGAUUCUGUUCAGGACGGAGGAACGAGAAAGAAUACAGGUUGAGGCCAGAAAACUGGUUCCCGGAGACGACGGCCAGCCAACUGCCAAUCCUGACCUCAUCAAUGCAGCUUUCCCUCUGACCAGACCUAGAUGGGAUUACAACAGGGCAGAAGGUAGAGGACCACUGCUCAUUUAUCGCCAGACUCUAAUGGCAGGUCUCCAGUCGGCAGCUCGCAAGCCCACUAAUUUAGCUAAAGUGUAUUCUGUGUUGCAGGGUAAGACAGAAAGCCCUACCGUUUAUCUAGAAAGGCUGAUGGAAGCUUUCAGACAGUUUACCCCUAUGGACCCAGAAGCACCUGAGAAUCAGGCAGCAGUAGUAAUGUCCUUUGUAAACCAGGCAGCACCAGAUAUUAAGAAAAUGUUACAAACACUAGAAGAUUUAGAAGGAAAACAGGUACAAGAUCUCCUCUGCAUUGCCAAUGAGGUAUACAACAACAGGGAUACCCCAGAAGAAAGGCAGUUAAAAGCUACUAAAGAGAUGACCAAGGUCCUGGUGGCUGCUUUCCUUCAGGCAGAGAACAACCAAAGGAGGAAACAGGCACAAGGCUCUAAGCAAAAGUUAGAAAAAGAUCAGUGUGCUUACUGUAAAGAACAUGGCCACUGGAUUAAAGAUUGCCCAAAGAAAAAGAGACAGUCGGACUCAGGGUUGCGGAAACCUACCCCCAUACUCGUCACCCAGGAUUCCGACUAGGGGGGACGGGGUUCGGAACCCCUCCCCAAAUCCAGGGUAACUCUACAAGUGGAGGGGUCCCCGGUCCACUUCUUGGUCGAUACCGGGGCGCAACACUCAGUUUUAACCAAACCAUAUGGAAAACUGUCUGAAAAUACAUCAUGGGUGCAAGGGGCCACAGGGAUAAAAAAGUGCCCUUGGACAACUCAGAGGACUGUGGACCUGGGUUCAGGGAAAGUGUCCCACUCCUUCCUGGUCAUCCCUGAGAGCCCUUGCCCCUUGUUGGGGAGAGAUCUAUUAACAAAAAUGGGGGCCCAGAUCCACUUCCAGCCGGGAGGUCCCAGGGUGACAGACUCUCAAAACCAGCCAAUAUCUAUCCUUACCGUCGCUUUAGAGGAUGAAUAUAGACUCCACCAGGAUCCAGUAUUCCCAGACCAAAGGAUCCAUUCCUGGCUCCAGCGCUUCCCAGAAGCAUGGGCGGAAACGGGUCCUAGGACUGGCAAAACACCGCCCUGCCAUAGUGGUUGAGCUUAAACCUGGGGCGGACCCUGUCCGGGUCCGGCAGUAUCAAAUGCCCCUGGAGGCAAAAGAAGGAAUAAUGCCCCACAUUCGCCGGCUCCUGGACCGGGGAGUCCUGCGUGCUUGUCACCUCACCAUGGAACACUCCUUUGCUGCCCGUCCGAAAGCCUAAUAGCAAAGACUAUAGGCCAGUACAAGAUUUAAGAGAAGUUAAUAAAAGGACUAUGGACAUACAUCCUACUGUGCCCAAUCUGUAUACCCUCCUAAGUACUCUAAGCCCGGAGAAGCAGUGGUAUACUGUCCUUGACCUGAAAGAUGCGUUUUUCAGUCUGCCCCUGGCUCCCAAAAGUCAAGAGAUUUUUGCAUUUGAAUGGACAGACCCUGAGAGGGGUAUAAACGGCCAACUGACAUGGACUAGGUUGCCACAAGGAUUCAAAAACUCGCCGACCCUGUUCGACGAGGCCCUCCAUGAGGACCUGGGUGAGUACAGAUGGCAACACCCUGAAAUAACCCUUUUGCAGUAUGCUGACGAUCUUUUAAUAGCAGCCAAGUCUCCGGAAGCCUAUGUUCAGGGAAUGGAGGACCUCCUGAAGGCUCUGGGGGAACUAGGCUACUGGGCCUCGGCGGCGAAAGCCCAAAUCUGCAAGUCGGAGGUAACUUACCUGGGAUACCUGCUAAAAGGGGGGCAACGGUGGCUAACUAGUGCUGGAAAAGAGACAGUCCUACGAAUCCCCAAACCCCAGUCAACGAGACAAGUAAGAGAAUUCUUGGGGUCAGCGGGGUUCUGUAGGUUAUGGAUACCCGGGUUUGCGGAGUUGGCCAAGCCCCUAUAUCAGGCAACAAAGGAACAGCAGCCCUUUAGUUGGACGGAAGAGGCCGAGUUAGCUUUCCAACAGAUUACAAGGGCACUGUUAUCAGCCCCCGCGCUAGGACUCCCUGAUGUUUCCAAGCCCUUUCACUUGUACGUGGAUGAAAGCAGGGGCGUUGCCAAAGCGGUAUUGACUCAGUACUUAGGUCCCUGGCGGAGACCAGUUGCCUAUCUGUCAAAAAAAUUGGACCCUGUAGCCGCAGGUGGCCGCCCUGUCUCCGAAUAAUCGCGGCAACCGCCCUGAUGGUGCAGGAUGCUGAUAAGCUUAUCAUGGGACAAGAGCUACGGGUUACUACUCCACAUGCCAUCGAAGGCGUUCUCAGACAGCCGCCUGAUCGAUGGAUUAGCAAUGCCCGGCUCACCCACUACCAGGGGCUACUGCUAAACCCCCUCAGGAUAACUUUCCUGCCCCCAACGACCCUGAAUCCUGCGUCACUAUUGCCAAAUCCAGACUUAGAAGCCCCGUUCCAUGACUGUUCCGAGAUAUUGGCCCAGGUACAGGGAGUCAGGGAAGACUUGCAAGACCACCCACUACCUGACGCUGAUCUCAUUUGGUUCACCGAUGGAAGCAGUUUCGUCCAUCAAGGACAGAGGUUUGCAGGAGCGGCAGUAACUUUGGAAACUGAGGUAAUUUGGGCCGAGCCACUACCCCCCGGGACGUCGGCACAAAAAGCCGAGCUUAUAGCACUCACUCAGGCCCUUACAUUGGGAGCAGACCAAAAGCUGACAGUUUACACUGACAGCUGGUAUGCUUUUGCCACAGCACACAUACAGGGGGCUAUUUACAGGGAAAGAGGCUUGCUCACAGCAGAAGGAAAAGACAUUAAAAAUAGAGAAGAAAUCCUUGAUUUACUAGCAGCCCUGUGGAGGCCAAAGAAAAGGGCCAUCCUGCAUUGCCCAGGACACCAGAAACUAGUCAGCCCAGUCGCCCGGGGCAAUAACCUAGGGGAUUCCACUGCCAAAGAAGUUGCAAAAGCUCUCGAUUGGCUCCUUACACUCCAACUCCCUGACCCGGGACCCCGAGAUUUACCCUAUAACCCUGAAUACUCAGAAGAAGACCUACGGUGGAUAGACAAACUCCCAAUGAAACAGAUUCAAGAUGGAUGGUGGACAGAUACAUGUGGCAACAUAGUCCUACCUGAAAGGCUAGGACAGCAAGUGCCAGAACGUAUCCACAGAUCCACCCACUUGGGGGCCCAAAGAAUGAUAGACUUAAUCAGACACACCAAGCUUAAAAUUAGGCAUGUGGCUGAAAAGGCCGGCAAAAUAGCUGCAAACUGCAAGGUUUGUCUACUCAACAAUGCCUAUAGUCAGUCCCAAACUGUUGGGACAAGACUAAGAGGAACCAGGCCUGGAGUCUAUUGGGAAGUAGAUUUCACUGAAGUUAAACCAGGUAAAUAUGGUUAUCGAUACUUAUUAGUCUUCAUAGAUACCUUUUCAGGAUGGACUGAGGCAUUCCCAACCAAACGCGAGACUGCACAAGUUGUUGCAAAGAAAAUUUUAGAAGAAAUCCUCCCCAGGUAUGGCUUUCCUGUCCAGAUAGGAUCUGACAAUGGACCAGCUUUCGUUGCUAAGCUCUACAGAGAGUUCAGGAGGAAGUGUGGCCUAGACUGCGAGAACUGUAGGAGUCUGGACCCUCGCCCACACCUCAUUCACAUCAACCAGGAGAUUGGGUCCUGGUCAAACGGCAUCGGUAAGAAAGCCUAGAGCCAAGGUGGAAAGGACCAUUGCAGGUACUCCUAACCACCCCCACCGCUCUCAAGGUCGAGGGCAUCGCGUCGUGGAUCCACCACACCCACGUCAGGCCAGUGAACCCAGCAACAGACCUCCUCAAGCAAAGCGUGGAAACGCCAGAGGCAGCAGAUACUUGGACAAUAGAUCGAACUAAGGACAAUCCUUUAAAACUGACACUGUGCCGGCGCCACAACCCACCGUAACUAUGUUAGUUUUCUUUAUGACUUUGUGCCUCCUGUGCUUAUCUCCCUCGCUCACUGCAAACCCAGCUACAAACCCUUUUGUUUGGAGGUUCUGGCUCUAUGAGAACCAAACCCACCCAGGAGAAACCCCCAGGCCGGAAAAUUGCUAGCUAGUGCAGAUUGCCCCCCCCCCCCUCCCCGGAUGUAGUACUCCAAUUUACCUCAACUUCACUGGGUUUCAGGUUGCCAAACCGGCAUUACCCACCAUCUGCUUCGAAUUUGAUCAGGCCCAACACAACUGUAAAAAUUAUUGGAAACGAAUGAGUGCAGGAUGCCCCUAUAGCUACUGUAAGACCCACUCAGUCAGAGAAUGGACACAAACCGGGUGGAACUUCUAUCACAGUGCAGGCACCUAUACUUGGAUAAUUAAAGACCCAUGGGAUUCCCGGUGGACCUCGCCACAGCAUGGGGCUGUCUACUAUUCCUCCACCAGUACUUGGCCCAGUAGUCACUUAUAUCUGUGGCGCAGUCUAGUCCAAGUUCAGUCCCUAGUCCAUGGAGACAUCCACCAACAGGAAGAAAAGCUGUUACAGGAUCUACCUCCCUUUUCGUGGCUAACCCUACUGCAAGAGGGGCUAAUGGUCGCCAACCUUACAGGUCUAGAAGACUUGUCUUCUUGCUUUAUGUGUGCAGCUCUAGGGCGUCCGCCACUAACUGCUGUCCUACUGUCUACCCCACCCGGCAACCAAACUGUAAACCCUCGGAAUUCGUCCGCUGCUCCGGUGUCCAAUGUCCUCCUAUACCAUAAUCCGAGCCAAGAGAAAUUCCCCUACUGCUAUUCAGCUAUCAACUCCAGUCUCUGUGACCACACAGCUGCCCUCCCUAGUACCCCGUUGUAUGCCCCACCUGGCAUAUUCUUCUGGUGCAAUGGUACUCUGUUCCAAAAUUUAUCUGGGGGGUCUCCUGACGGGCGGAUAUGCCUCCCUGUCACUCUGGUCCCCCAGCUAACUUUGCUGACACCAGCUGAAUUCCUGGGCUGGACAGGUGCUGUCUUUGACGAGGCCCCUAGGCAUAAACGGACAGUAUUCCUACCCCUUGUCGCUGGAAUCUCUCUUUCCACGUCCCUUAUCGCAGCUGGAUUGGCGGGGGGGGAGGGCCCUAGGCCCCUCAAUAGUGGAAAAUGACAAGCUGUUCCAGCAAUUCUCCGUCGCAAUGGAGGCGUCAGCUGAAUCCCUUGCCUCCCUCCAGCGGCAACUCACCUCACUAGCCCAGGUAACCCUCCAAAAUCGGAGAGCUUUAGAUUUACUGCUGAAAAAGGGGGCACAUGUAUGUUCCUCAAAGAAGAGUGUUGUUUUUACAUAAAUGAGUCCGGGCUAGUAGAAAGUCGGGUUCAACAACUACACAAGUUAAGCCUAGAAAUGAAGAGGCGGCAGUUUGCCUCAGCCGCUAGUAGCUGGUGGAACUCUUCCAUGUUCUCUCUCCUAGCCCCCUUCAUUGGGCCACUGAUAACCCUCUUACUCCUGCUCACGAUAGGACCUUGUGUUGUUAAUAAAAUAUUGCAAUUUGUCAGAGAAAGGUUCAACACCAUCCAACUUAUGGUUCUCCGCACCCAGUAUCAACCCUUAGACCUGCGUGACACGGAAGAAACAGAGGUAACCUUAUAGGGACCCAAGAUUGGAUCCCCAGUUUCCUGUGAGAGGGGGAAAUGUGAGAAGGUGAAAAAUUAAGGAAAAUAAGUUCCAGAAACCUGAACUGGAACCAACCGGUUAGGAAAGCUCCUGAUAAAGGUCAUGAGUGUUUAAAAGAGUAACUGAAACACCCAGAAGGCGGGCACCAAUCAUAAACAGCCAAAUCGCCUUGUUCAAAUGUCAGCCAAUCCCAAACCUGUAUUGCACAAAAUCCCCUAUGACUCCGUGCUUGUUUACUACUGACUAUAAAACGCUGUCUCAGACUCAGCCGGAGGCUCUCCAACAGUCUUUGAUCGGGAGUCCAGGUUCGAACUUGUAUUAAAGAUCCUUGCCGUUUGGCUUUGA